UUCAAAGCUGAAGAGGGCCGACGGGGCUACCUAUUGAUCCCGGAACAUCGCGGUGUUAACGUCCCGAAACAGCGGUGUACAACUGCGAUUGAUCGGCAUACGAUAAGAUAGCCGGCCGUAUAUGUGUAUCAUCCGAUCCAGAAAUAACGAAACGAGUCCGAGAGCGGGGCCGAUCUUUUGCAGAACACCUGAACCCGAAAGCUUUUCGAGGACGCUCAAUUACACCCUUUCACCGCCACCAACUGUCCUGUUGAAAAAGCUGAAGAGUUUAAUGAAGACGCUUCGCGGGUGACUAGUGAACAUAAUUCAGUAGCAGCUGUUCGAGAAUUAACUCAAACGUUUUUGACUAACUGUAUGAUUCCUGUGAUGCGCAAUUAAACAUUUCUCGGCUGUUAUAUAAAUUGUCUUAUAUUUUAAGAAAUAUAAAAGCUGAACUUUCGUGAUUACUUCGAUAACACCGAGGUUGAGAGAAUCAGAAGUGCUAAAAAUAAAAGACGCAAUUUGCUGAUUCGA